rnacentral:rRNA from 1 species
ACGCACGCUGGCGGCGUGCCUCAUCCCUGCCAGUCGCACGCUUCUUUCCUCCCGAGUGCUUGCACUCAAUUGGAAAGAGGAGUGGCGGACGGGUGAGUAACACGUGGGUAACCUACCCAUCAGAGGGGGAUAACACUUGGAAACAGGUGCUAAUACCGCAUAACAGUUUAUGCCGCAUGGCAUAAGAGUGAAAGGCGCUUUCGGGUGUCGCUGAUGGAUGGACCCGCGGUGCAUUAGCUAGUUGGUGAGGUAACGGCUCACCAAGGCCACGAUGCAUAGCCGACCUGAGAGGGUGAUCGGCCACACUGGGACUGAGACACGGCCCAGACUCCUACGGGAGGCAGCAGUAGGGAAUCUUCGGCAAUGGACGAAAGUCUGACCGAGCAACGCCGCGUGAGUGAAGAAGGUUUUCGGAUCGUAAAACUCUGUUGUUAGAGAAGAACAAGGACGUUAGUAACUGAACGUCCCCUGACGGUAUCUAACCAGAAAGCCACGGCUAACUACGUG